rnacentral:rRNA from 1 species
GAAGGUGUACUGUGAGGUAUGCUGGAGGUAUCAGAAGUGCGAAUGCUGACAUAAGUAACGAUAAAGCGGGUGAAAAGCCCGCUCGCCGGAAGACCAAGGGUUCCUGUCCAACGUUAAUCGGGGCAGGGUGAGUCGACCCCUAAGGCGAGGCCGAAAGGCGUAGUCGAUGGGAAACAGGUUAAUAUUCCUGUACUUGGUGUUACUGCGAAGGGGGGACGGAGAAGGCUAUGUUGGCCGGGCGACGGUUGUCCCGGUUUAAGCGUGUAGGCUGGUUUUCCAGGCAAAUCCGGAAAAUCAAGGCUGAGGCGUGAUGACGAGGCACUACGGUGCUGAAGCAACAAAUGCCCUGCUUCCAGGAAAAGCCUCUAAGCAUCAGGUAACAUCAAAUCGUACCCCAAACCGACACAGGUGGUCAGGUAGAGAAUACCAAGGCGCUUGAGAGAACUCGGGUGAAGGAACUAGGCAAAAUGGUGCCGUAACUUCGGGAGAAGGCACGCUGAUAUGUAGGUGAAGCGACUUGCUCGUGGAGCUGAAAUCAGUCGAAGAUACCAGCUGGCUGCAACUGUUUAUUAAAAACACAGCACUGUGCAAACACGAAAGUGGACGUAUACGGUGUGACGCCUGCCCGGUGCCGGAAGGUUAAUUGAUGGGGUUAGCGGUAACGCGAAGCUCUUGAUCGAAGCCCCGGUAAACGGCGGCCGUAACUAUAACGGUCCUAAGGUAGCGAAAUUCCUUGUCGGGUAAGUUCCGACCUGCACGAAUGGCGUAAUGAUGGCCAGGCUGUCUCCACCCGAGACUCAGUGAAAUUGAACUCGCUGUGAAGAUGCAGUGUACCCGCGGCAAGACGGAAAGACCCCGUGAACCUUUACUAUAGCUUGACACUGAACAUUGAGCCUUGAUGUGUAGGAUAGGUGGGAGGCUUUGAAGUGUGGACGCCAGUCUGCAUGGAGCCGACCUUGAAAUACCACCCUUUAAUGUUUGAUGUUCUAACGUUGGCCCCUGAUCGGGGUUGCGGACAGUGUCUGGUGGGUAGUUUGACUGGGGCGGUCUCCUCCUAAAGAGUAACGGAGGAGCACGAAGGUUGGCUAAUCCUGGUCGGACAUCAGGAGGUUAGUGCAAUGGCAUAAGCCAGCUUGACUGCGAGCGUGACGGCGCGAGCAGGUGCGAAAGCAGGUCAUAGUGAUCCGGUGGUUCUGAAUGGAAGGGCCAUCGCUCAACGGAUAAAAGGUACUCCGGGGAUAACAGGCUGAUACCGCCCAAGAGUUCAUAUCGACGGCGGUGUUUGGCACCUCGAUGUCGGCUCAUCACAUCCUGGGGCUGAAGUAGGUCCCAAGGGUAUGGCUGUUCGCCAUUUAAAGUGGUACGCGAGCUGGGUUUAGAACGUCGUGAGACAGUUCGGUCCCUAUCUGCCGUGGGCGCUGGAGAACUGAGGGGGGCUGCUCCUAGUACGAGAGGACCGGAGUGGACGCAUCACUGGUGUUCGGGUUGUCAUGCCAAUGGCACUGCCCGGUAGCUAAAUGCGGAAGAGAUAAGUGCUGAAAGCAUCUAAGCACGAAACUUGCCCCGAGAUGAGUUCUCCCUGAGACUUUAAGUCUCCUGAAGGAACGUUGAAGACGACGACGUUGAUAGGCCGGGUGUGUAAGCGCAGCGAUGCGUUGAGCUAACCGGUACUAAUGAACCGUGAGG